GGGAACAAAGCUUGGCUCAGACAAUUGCACGGUACAGUCAUAGAGUGAAGGUGGUUUAUGGUCGUCCUUAAGAAGCCGAUCUGAAGUGCUCGAAAUAGAAGGUUUGUCGCAUCGCAUAUCACGAUUUGGCAGGUUACACCAAUAGCCCGCAAACAAAAGGGACCACCCGAUCUGUUCUCGGAUAACCGCAUGCAACGCGAGCACGUUUGACUUCAUUCCAAUCAAUACACCAAGUUCCCUAUGAGCUAUCGCAAGACUUGCACGUAACAUCCGUAUAGUUUGGAGAGAUAGAUUUGCUACGAGAGUUGCGAAUUCCAAGAAACAAGAGUUAUACGGCAUAAGCUAGUGAUCUCCGACGACAGAUUAAGCCACAACGAGACUCGGCUGCGUUGGAUUUAAGUAUCGAAAGAGU